AUUUUCGUCUGGUGGGUGUGGGUGGCGGGCUGAGCAGCAGCUGACUCGGAAAACCGCCGACGGUCGACGGUCGUGGCGGAAAAAAUCAUCUCUGUUCCCCCCCGCGACCGUAUUAUAAAAGCUCCGUUAUCAAAACGUUUUUUUUUCCUCGGAACGGACGAUAACGUUUUUUAUUUUUGUUAUCUACGCCGCCAAUAUUUCGUGCGUAGUGCGUAGUUGUAAUUAAUUAAUUGGACGUCACACCCGCAUAACGUAUUAUAUUAUAGUCGUCUUUGUCUUACGCACGGAAAACGUUGCUUUAUGAUUUACGUUCAGCAGCAGCUCCGAUUUUGUUACGUCGUAACUCGUAAGGUUUGAUGUUAUUAUACAGAGUCACUAUAUUGAUUAAUACUGUCAUCGAGCUUUAAGCUAAGAAAAUUAUCUGUCUUCUCUCGUCGGUUUUUUACGAUGGUUUAAUUUUUAAGCGACUUAUGACGGUUUUUGAAUUUGAAUAUUUUACGCACUCUCGUCUAGCCGUAAAACUAAAAUUUCAUAAAAAGUCAACCGCGAAAUAAGAGAUAAAUAAAAGAACUCGAAUAAAUGUAAAAAUAUUUCGAGUUAAAAAACUUAAAGUUUGAUAAUUCUAAAAAUUUAAAAAUUCUAAAACGUUAGUUGGACGGAAAAACACGUGCGGGUCACGGGUACGACGUUCAAAUUACAAUAACAAUACAAAAUUAUAUUGGCGAGAAGAAGUGAGCCAGCGAGGACUUUUCACCCUUAAUAUUUGUUUCCGUUUUACAAACGUAGAAAAUAUAACUUGAAAAUUCUUGUUUAAUAAAACCAACGUAACGUGGUUACUUUUUUGUUUUAAUAAUAUUGACUUUACCUACAGCCAAACUUAAAGAUCUCGAAUAACCAUUAACUAGAACAAAAUGAAUGACUAGCUGGUAUAGUGCAAUGCAAUGCAAUUCAUAUUACUCAAUAUUAGUGUACCUCAUUUCAAGGACAAAUCCGUACCCAGGUUUAUGAACUAAUUCGACAGAGAUGGACAAUCUGCUUUUAGGGGAUGGAUACAGCAGAACAGCACUUGUCAUUAACGAUAUUAAAGGUCAUUGAUUUUUUAUAUAUAUUUGAAUAAUAAAUAAUAUUAUAAAAUAGUAUACUGGUAACUACUUUUUAUAUUUUAUAAAUUUAAAUUAUUUUUUUUAGUUUUAUUUUAUUGUACAGAUGGCGCCACCAAUGUAUUCCUUGACGUCAAGUUGGUCCAACAUGCUUAAAACUUACUCUGUACUCUAUAUUAUAUAUUCUUUAAAUUCAAAAAAUUGAAAAAAUCUCGUUUAAAUUCAUUCGGUAGUUUCUGAGAAUAUCUGUUGGUAAAAAACUCAUUUCCCUAGCCAUUUUAUUGUACUCAAUUAGGGAUGUAAUCAGGCGGAAUUUAGCCAUAAAAUCUGAGAUUAAAUUGAAUAAUUACCUCGCGUGUUCGUAUCCAAAAAAGCAAAGAGGUGUUUGAUUGGUAUAAUGGUAAUUGUUAGUUGGUUCGCAGUGGGUGACCGAUUCGAUGUCAUGUUUAAAAUUUUAAAAUGUGUACUUACAAAAUCAGACGAGACAAACAACGGAGCGCGAAGUAUUCAAGCCACCUGCAUGAGUGGAUUGCUCAGUCAGGAGUAUUGAAUUACAUUAGUUAAGACUAAUAGUUAAAUAGUAAAGUACAACUUUGAAAUCGAAACAUUUUCGAUUUACUCCCUAACCAAGUUUCAUUUUCCCCGAUUAAAACUCCGUGGAUUGUAAACUCGAAUAUAUAGUAUAUAUAAUAAACGUGGUUUAAAAAUUAACGAUUAUGCUAACGUCUUAAUAAUUCUAUAACAAUGAAUUAUGUUAAUAUUUAUUAUGUAUUUAUGUAAGACCGUUUACAAUAAUAAAGUUUUAAUAUAAUUGUGUUGCAUACAAAAUUAUUUGAAAAUCAACGUUGAAUCGAUUUGAAAUGAUAAAAAAUUACUACAGAUGUGAAAAAACUAAUCAAUAACUGUUUAAAGUUACCUAUUUAAUCAAAUUGUCAGGAUAAUUAUUAUAA